GGCCUGUUGGAGAAGUGGCUUAACUCACAUGCCUUUCACGCAUGCAUUCACGGGUUCGAAUCCCGUACAGGUCACCA
rnacentral:tRNA from 1 species